CGGCGCCACGAGUGGUAACCACGUUUAUUGGGCCUAAAGCGUCCGUAGCCGGUUUGAUAAAUCUUUUGUGAAAUUGUACAGCUUAACUGUACAGCGUGCAAGAGACACUGUCAAACUUGAGACCGGGAGGAGUCAGAAGUAUUCCAGAGGGAGCGGUAAAAUGUUAUAAUCUCUGGAGGACUACCUGUGGCGAAGGCGUCUGACCAGAACGGAUCUGACGGUGAGGGACGAAAGCUAGGGGAGCGAACCGGAUUAGAGACCCGAGUAGUCC
rnacentral:rRNA from 1 species